rnacentral:rRNA from 1 species
ACGAAGGGGGCGAGCGUUGUUCGGAUUUACUGGGCGUAACGGGCGCGCAGGCGGCGGACCAAGUCAGGCGUGAAAGCCCCGGGCUUAACCUGGGUGGUGCGUCUGGGACUGGUUUGCUAGAGAUCGGGAGAGGAGAGUGGAAUUCCCAGUGUAGAGGUGAAAUUCGUAGAUAUUCGCAAGAACACCAGUGGCGAAGGCGGCUCACUGGCUCGAUACUGACGCUGAGGUGCGAAAGCGUGGGGAGCAAACAGGA